UACGAAGGGUGCUAGCGUUGUUCGGAAUUACUGGGCGUAAAGCGCGCGUAGGCGGCUUAACAAGUCAGGGGUGAAAUCCCAGCAGCUCAACUGUGGAAUUGCCUUUGAAACUGUUAAGCUAGAGUGUCGGAGGGGAUAGCGGAAUUGCUAAUGUAGAGGUGAAAUUCGUAGAUAUUAGCAGGAACACCGGUGGCGAAGGCGGCUAUCUGGACGACAACUGACGCUGAGGCGCGAAAGCUAGGGGAGCAAACAGGG
rnacentral:rRNA from 1 species